rnacentral:lncRNA from 1 species
CUAGGAUGGGUGACCUCCUGGGAAGUCCUCGUGAAAGGGUUUCAUAUCUAGCCUACCCCAACUUGUUUGGGAUAAAAGGCUUCGUAAGUAAGUAAGUAAGUGGUGCGGUAGGAGCAUGAUGCCGAAUUUACCAUUAUCAUUCAAGUUUCUGUUAUAUGUACAAACUAUGAGAAUGUGCGACAAUUUAUCCAUCCACAUGAACUUCAUUUGUGCCAUAAUACGACAGUGUUUUGGUACAAGCAGGAUGCUUAUUUAUUGAAAAUUCAGCUAGCAAAUACUUUUGAAAAGUGUGUGCUUUUUAACUGAAAAUUUCAGGAUUAGGACAGGACACGGGAGCCACGUACUGAAAUUGCUUAAUUUUAACUGUUUUUCCUUUUUGUACACAGGGGGGGCUGCUAACUGAGAACAGUAGAUCAUGCAGAUGGACAGCGAUCAGGUGACUUGCUCUAUCUGACGUCCAUUGUAUAUCCAACACAGGGGAUUGGCAACAAAAUUUCUUGGUAGAAACACAGGGCAACGGUUCGAACGGGCUUGGCGAGCUCGUUCUCUCACAUGACGCAUCGCCGAGGAGAGCAGUGCUGCGGGACUGCCGUGGAGGACUAGCAAUGUCAAGAUAGAGGAAGGAGUGUCAGCACUGCCGCAGGUUCCUUUCCGAUUAUCUCGCGGACCGCUCGAUACCAUCAUAAGUCAGUAGUAAGCUUUCUGAUUGUAAGGCUGGAAGAUUGUUUUUUCAGUUCUUUGCAAUCGUUAGUGCUGUGUAAAUGGUUAGUGCAUCUACAAUUCAACUGAUUCUGAAUUUUAAUGCUAGUGGUAAAUAGUUUCUGUUCUGAAUGGUUCUGAAUUUCAUUGACAAGUGUUAUUUGAUUAUUUGGUUUUUGCUUGUUUAAUCUCUUCCCGCAUGACAUGUGGAUUAGGAAGAUACUUACUUGUUAUGACACCGGCCACUCCUGGAAUCUGCACUUGCCGGCCUNNN